AUUGAACGCUGGCGGCAUGCCUAACACAUGCAAGUCGAACGCGUGGCGGACGGGUGAGAAAUGUCUGGGAACCUGCCUGAUGGAGGGGGAUAACUACUGGAAACGGUAGCUAAUACCGCAUACCAUCGGAUGUGCCCAGAUGGGAUUAGCUUGUUGGUGGGGUAACGGCUCACCAAGGCGCCGAUCCCUAGCUGGUCUGAGAGGAUGACCAGCCACACUGGAACUGAGACACGGUCCAGACUCCUACGGGAGGCAGCAGUGGGGAAUAUUGCACAAUGGGCGAAAGCCUGAUGCAGCCAUGCCGCGUGUGUGAAGAAGGCCUUCGGGUUGUAAAGUACUGUCAGCAGGGAGGCGUUACCCGCAGAAGAAGCACCGGCUAACUCCGUGCCAGCAGCCGCGGUAAUAC
rnacentral:rRNA from 1 species